UUAAGAUGUAAAAUUUUGAGGAUUAAUAGUUAUGUUCUUUAAACUUAAAAAAAUUGGCGGUAUUUAAGUCUAAUUAGGGGAAUUUGUUUUUUAAAUGAUAAUCCGCAAGAUACCUUACUUUAAUUAAUUUAAUUUGUUUAUUUCCGUUAUCAGAUUAUUUUUAAAGAAUAAAAAUUUUCUAAAAUUUUUAUAAAAACUUAUUUCAGGUCUAUAUGCAGUUUAUAUUAAAGUUAAAAUGAAUUACAAUAAAUUUAAAUUUAUACGGAUAAUUGAUUGAAAUAUUAAUUUGAAGGUGGACUUAUAAGUAAAUUUAAAUAUUAUAUUUUUUUGAAUAAAGAAUUAAAUAUGU
rnacentral:rRNA from 1 species